rnacentral:rRNA from 1 species
AUGGCAGAGUUGCUGGGCACCAAGGCCGUGCAGGGGGAGGAGCCGCCCAGGAUUCUCCACCCCAGGAUCAGAGGCGACUUCAGCGGCCGCCUCGUCAUCGAGCUCAACGCCUGCUACUGCAUGAAGUGGGCGCUGCCGCAGCGCUGCGAGGGCCCGGCGUCCUGGCCCGACGACGACAGAGUUGAUGGGGAGCUCAAGUGUGAGAAAUGGACUCGGGAUGAUGGCCCCAAGACAAACAAAUCGUCAAACAUAAAGUGGUUGCUCAACAAUUUGAUCGGCAUGCCAGAGCCAGACAAGGUCUCUGUUGAUCAGGCAUACCCCUUUGCAGAGGGCAAGCUCUUUUUCCUAACCAUCACAGCCGGUCUCGAAGGCUACCAUGUCAAUGUCGAUGGCCGACAUAUUGCAUCCUUCCCUUACUGCACUGGUUACAACCUCGAGGAUGCGACAGGCCUGUCGUUGAACGGAGACCUUGACAUCGAGUCAAUUUCUGCCGGCCAUCUGCCCAAAUCACACCCUAGCUUCGACCCACAGCGAUACCUCAAAAUGUCUGAACAGUGGAAGGCCCCACCUCUGCCAACUGAACCUGUUGAGCUGUUCAUUGGCAUCCUUUCUGCAGCCAACCAUUUCGCGGAGUGGAUGGCCGUUCGCAAGUCAUGGAUGAUUGCUACAAGGAAAUCAUCUAAUAGUGUUGCCUGGUUUUUUUUCGCUCUGAAUGGGAAAAAAAGAGGUCAACGAGGAGCUGAAGAAGGAGGAAGAGUUCUUUGGUGA